rnacentral:rRNA from 1 species
AUUGAACGCUGGCGGCAUGCCUUACACAUGCAAGUCGAACGGUAACAGGUCUUCGGAUGCUGACGAGUGGCGAACGGGUGAGUAAUACAUCGGAACGUGCCCGAUCGUGGGGGAUAACGAGGCGAAAGCUUUGCUAAUACCGCAUACGAUCUACGGAUGAAAGCGGGGGAUCUUCAGACCUCGCGCGGACGGAGCGGCCGAUGGCAGAUUAGGUAGUUGGUGGGAUAAAAGCUUACCAAGCCGACGAUCUGUAGCUGGUCUGAGAGGAUGAUCAGCCACACUGGGACUGAGACACGGCCCAGACUCCUACGGGAGGCAGCAGUGGGGAAUUUUGGACAAUGGGCGAAAGCCUGAUCCAGCCAUGCCGCGUGCAGGAUGAAGGCCUUCGGGUUGUAAACUGCUUUUGUACGGAACGAAAAGCCUCUUUCUAAUAAAGAGGGGUCAUGACGGUACCGUAAGAAUAAGCACCGGCUAACUACGUG